GACGAACGCUGGCGGCGUGCUUAACACAUGCAAGUCGAACGGAAAGGCCCUGCUUUUGUGGGGUGCUCGAGUGGCGAACGGGUGAGUAACACGUGAGUAACCUGCCCUUGACUUUGGGAUAACUUCAGGAAACUGGGGCUAAUACCGGAUAGGAGCACCUGCUGCAUGGUGGGGGUUGGAAAGUUUCGGCGGUUGGGGAUGGACUCGCGGCUUAUCAGCUUGUUGGUGGGGUAGUGGCUUACCAAGGCUUUGACGGGUAGCCGGCCUGAGAGGGUGACCGGCCACAUUGGGACUGAGAUACGGCACAGACUCCUACGGGAGGCAGCAGUGGGGAAUAUUGCACAAUGGGCGGAAGCCUGAUGCAGCAACGCCGCGUGCGGGAUGAAGGCCUUCGGGUUGUAAACCGCUUUCGCCUGUGACGAAGCGUGAGUGACGGUAAUGGGUAAAGAAGCACCGGCUAACUACGUG
rnacentral:rRNA from 1 species